UGUCUCCGAGCUGGGUAAGGUUGCACCUGGUUUGCUGAUGCUGGUCUCACAUUAGCCAGGAACAAGGUAAGUCCUUGUGUAUCCCAGCUUGGCUUUGGUCUGUGCACAUGCCUGAUUCAUGCCCUAGACACAUGG